ACUCAAAUGAAUUGACGGGGGCCCGCACAAGCAGCGGAGCAUGUGGCUUAAUUCGACGCAACGCGAAGAACCUUACCAAGGCUUGACAUACACCGGAAACGGCCAGAGAUGGUCGCCCCCUUGUGGUCGGUGUACAGGUGGUGCAUGGCUGUCGUCAGCUCGUGUCGUGAGAUGUUGGGUUAAGUCCCGCAACGAGCGCAACCCUUGUUCUGUGUUGCCAGCAUGCCCUUCGGGGUGAUGGGGACUCACAGGAGACUGCCGGGGUCAACUCGGAGGAAGGUGGGGACGACGUCAAGUCAUCAUGCCCCUUAUGUCUUGGGCUGCACACGUGCUACAAUGGCAGGUACAAUGAGCUGCGAAGCCGUGAGGCGGAGCGAAUCUCAAAAAGCCUGUCUCAGUUCGGAUUGGGGUCUGCAACUCGACCCCAUGAAGUCGGAGUUGCUAGUAAUCGCAGAUCAGCAUUGCUGCGGUGAAUACGUUCCCGGGCCUUGUACACACCGCCCGU
rnacentral:rRNA from 1 species